AACAAAACACUCAACAACAAACCACCAAAUGGAUCCUCGAGAUUCGUUCAAAGUUUUGAGCACACAAAUCAAGUAUGAUAUCAUAGUAAAUUUGACAUUCAAGACUCAACGAAAUUAUAAAAACACAUAUUUGUGGUCUCCUUGAUCUAAAAUCUGUAAAAGCCGCAAUAAACAAAGUUUCACCUUGAAAUACCAAACUAC
rnacentral:lncRNA from 1 species